GACAGCUGUAAAUAUACGAGUACAAAAUAGACAUCAACAUUAUUUGUAAAGAAAGUAAAAUAUAUCAAUAAGAAUAAGCAGGAAUCCAAAAAUAACAAAAUUAAAUUGAAUCCAAUCGCGACGCACUUGAAGCUUUACUUGGGGCUCGUAAAAGAAUUGAACAAGUAUAAAUCGCAUCUAUGAAUACUUCCGUUCUCCAUUAUCUAUUUAUUAAAUUUGCUCAUAUUCACAUCCACGCGCAUCCAAAAUCUGCGCGAAGUCAGUGUGGAGUCUGAGUUACAAACUAAACUCGACGACAGUCCGCCAGAUGUGACCGUUUGUCGGUGGCCUUCAAUAAGCUUGUGAGUUUGUGUUGCAGUUUAUGGCGUGUAGUCCUUCAGCGGAUGCACCUCACCCAUUGCACACACACACACCUCAGCCCUCAUCUCAAAAUGGUUUGGAGAGCAACUGUGCUUUGUUCUAAAUGAUAAAUGAUGGCGCACAGGAAAGCAGACUGAAGGAGCUCGCAAAAUGAAGCUGAACUGUGAAUAAAGUGAAAUUGAUAGACUUUGUCGCUGCAUUCACCACGUCGGUGGAGUGCCUCAAGAUGAUACGUAUCCAUACAUUCAUGCAAAAUGUAUAUGUGCUCGCUAGAGCUGGCUUUAAUAAACCAUCAACUUCGUAUCGAUCGAAACACGUGUUUGGACCGAACAUUUUUCUGGCGCAAUGGUUCGUCGUAGGGUGGUCAGAAAUUUUGCAAAAUUAUUUUUGUGACUGCAUAAAUGUGCAUAUAUAUAUGUUUAUCCAAUGUGCUAAUCUUCAAUUUAAUAUCAGUCUGUUGAAUGGUGAAUGGAGCGGGCAAUAUCAAGUGCAAAAUCACAAAAGGCCUCAAUAUGUCGUGCGUAAUAAGUAAUAGUGAUUGUUGUACACCGCUGGCAACUAUACACUACUCACUACUUCUAAAGAACUCUGAUGCGCGGGUUUUUAUGUUUGUAAGAAUUAAUUUAUGCUUAUGGUAAUCAGCCCAACUAUGUGUUUGCCGCCAGUGUGCCUGUAUGUACUGAGGCGGCUUUGCAACUGCCUCCAUUCGCCUCUCUUGUAUAUCGGAAGGACAUUAACCCGUGCGGUUGCUGCUGCAGCUAUGCAAAUCCAUUCGGUUAUGCAAACGCCGGGAUUUUAGCGCAGUCACGUCGCCUACUCACUCACUGCUUUCCCUAUUCACGCCACAGCACACGACCCGUUAAACCCAAGCAAUUGCGAAUUCUGGCAGCCACAUAUUUACUUUGCGUAUGCCGAUGAGUUGCUGAUGCAGCACGUGAGCCCGACUCGAAGCAGGAUGGAGCCAGGGGCUGUGAGUAGACGCCAGGCCCUGCGAGCGCGCCAUUGCAGUUGAUAUCGCGGGUCUGGGCUGCGCAUAUUGCAAGUACUUUGCGAUGAGUUGCUGACUACAAAUGAUAAGGAAGCCAUUUAGACAGUCUGGCUGACAGCCAAAGAGAUGGGCUGCUACAACUACUUAGCCAGGUGUGGCGCUUGCUGUUGUGAAGUGAGGGGGUUUGUUAUUGAGGUGACAAAACUCUUGAAUGCAGGCAAAUGGAGUUGCCGUAUAUGAAUGAUCACCCCCAAUACUAUAAGAAGGCUUUGGUGAUGACACUUCGUGUUUGCUAGGACAUUUGUGGUUAAAAAUAUGGCGACGGUAUCAAGAGACGGGCUUUAAGCGAUAGAAAUAACAAGAGUAGAAGUGUUUAUAAGCCUCUAUUUGGCUGCCCUUAUAACUUUUUUCUUAGGAAGAUAACUAAGGAGACCUGCUGCUUGCUUUCAGCAUCAAAAUACUUAACAGUUUAUGCACAUUAAUAACUGUACUUGUAAGAACAGUCCAUGCUGAAGCCAAAGCACAGGCCUGAGGCAACAUUUUUCAACAAAUAAAGGAGCAGGGAUGACUGAUCGUAAUUUGUAGUAAGUUAUACUCUCGGCAAGAACUCCGGCGAUCACAAGAAAGAACUGUUUAAAUCCGCUUAUACGACCUUUUAGCAAUCCAAUUGAAUGUGGCUUUAUUUUUAUUUGUAACUCGUACAAAAGCACGCUUCAUUUUCGUAUAGUGACCACAUGGAGCCGACUACGCAACUGCUAGUGGAUGUAUUCAAUUCAGAAAUGAGGUCAAGGAUACAAUCCUUUGCGGCAGCCUUCACUGCACUGUUAACUCAGCGAUGAACACCUGAACAUUUACUUUCGGGCAUCUGAUACAAUUUUCGAAUUAUACACAGCGACAGCUGAGGCACAACGGGAGCUCACAGUUUGCUGGCCGCCCACCACGCUGUAUGUGUCGGAGCUCUUCGGGUGAGCUUUGCAUGUGUGUGUGAGCGACCACUUAAUCAUUCUUGCCACAUGGACUCCAUUGAAACUGAUGAUAUUGAACAAAUAUUAAAAAGCGCUGCCAUACCGGUCUCUUCAGGUCUUCGCUGAUGGGUGCCAUUGAGAUUUAAUGAGAGUUUCAAGUGUGAAAAGAAACAGAUUAAUGCUUCCGUUAGAAAGAAGUGGAAUGGCGUGCAAUGUGGUCGCCUUUGAAGCGCUUUUAAAGCCAUCAAACAUCGAAUGUUUCACAAGGUCGCUCACACUCAUUGAACUAAGGGCAGGCGAACGCAGGAUGGAAAAGUGUACACAAUAUAAAAUGGCUUCAGCACGGAUGUGCAUGAUAUUUCGGUUAGAGAGCGCCUCUUCUAUAGUAGAAUUAGGGACGUGUCUA
rnacentral:lncRNA from 1 species